rnacentral:ncRNA from 1 species
AGUCUGAGUGAAACAGCUUCCAGUGCAGAUCUUGGUGGUAGUAGCAAGUAUUCAAUAAGAGAACAUUGAAGGCCGAAGUGGGGAAGGGUUCCAUGUGAACAGCACUUGGACAUGGGUUAGCCGAUCAAAAAUACAUCAAAAAGUAAUUCUAGAGCUAAUACAUGCGUCAAGGCCCGACUUCGGAAGGGCUGCGUUUAUUAGAUACAGAACCAACCUAGGCUCCGCCUAGUCCUUGUUGGUGAUUCAUAAUAACCCGGCGAAUCGCACGGCUUGUCCGGCGAUGGACCAUUCAAGUUUCUGACCUAUCAGCUAUGGACGGUAGGGUAUUGGCCUACCGUGGCGUUGACGGGUAACGGGGAAUUAGGGUUCGAUUCCGGAGAGGGAGCCUGAGAAACGGCUACCACAUCUAAGGAAGGCAGCAGGCGCGCAAAUUACCCAAUCCUGAUACAGGGAGGUAGUGACAAGAAAUAACAAUACAGGGCAAUUCUGUCUUGUAAUUGGAAUGAGUAGAUUUUAAAUCUCUUUACGAGUAUCAAUUGGAGGGCAAGUCUGGUGCCAGCAGCCGCGGUAAUUCCAGCUCCAAUAGCGUAUAUUAAAGUUGUUGCGGUUAAAAAGCUCGUAGUUGGAUUUCUGCCUUGGGCGACCGAUCCACCUUUCCUACGGGAUUGGUCGGUAUCAGGUUUGACCUUGGCUUUUUCUUGGGAUUCGUGCUCACGUACUUAACUGUGCGUUGACCGUGUUCCAAGACUUUUACUUUGAGGAAAUUAGAGUUUUCAAGCAGGCUUA